GGAGGUUCCUGUGGAGAAGAUCAUCUUAGUUCAGGAUUACGCUGUUUAUGGCAAUAUAAUCUAGAUUGGAGUCUACAUCAUUGUUUCUCUUUAAUAUGUUAUGACUGCACGUGGGAGGACAUAAAACUGGAUAGAUGUUGGAUGACUUUGCAUGAAUACACUGGAAGAUUGUGAGUUCCCUGGAAAGCUGGAUGAUCUUCAUAAAUGCCUUAUAAAACCCGUAGAAGGCCCUGCCACAACUACAUCUUGAAUACCAGCAACAUCUGUAGAACAGUCCAGAUUCUCUGCAGUGAGGGAGCAGGUUGAAUUUUACCCUAGGAUAUAUGUCCUAAAUCAUUCCCAGGUGUAUCAGGAUUUUUGAAGAAAAUUGUACCCUAUUGAGAAAAGACUUCAAGUUUAUGUCUUUCUGUAAGACUCAAUGAUACUUCUAUUUUAUUAUCUACCACAGUCUUUUCAUAGUUGCAUUUACUUCAUAUUUAGACACCAGUAUUCUUACUGUGUCCAUCACAAAAUAUGUGCAAGGCUUAAAAGCUUAACUGGGAAGUAUGAAAACCCUGUCUCCUGUGGUAUGGAGUAUUGCCUGACUAGCAGUAACACAUAUUGUCAACAUUGGUAAAUUUCUUCUCCUUUUUCAUAUACAGAUUUAGACACUCAUUAACUAUGAUCAGUCAUUCACCUGUGUCAGUUUUUUACAGAUCACUGCAAUCCUAUGUAUCUCCUUUUCUUCCUGAGCAUCUUCAGUUGAUUGAAAAAAUUGAACUUUGUAAUAGAUCGUUUUUGACCUUUGGAGUUGCAACAUAUAAAGUAUUUCAGCUAAUACAUCAUUCAGUCACUCAAAAAAAGUGAAGCAAGGAUUUAUUUGUUUAAUAUUAAAGAAUGUAAAUUACUUGAUUAGUUACGUGACAGAAAUGGCUCAUAGAUAUUCCAUUUUAUCUGUAUAUAUUUCAUGGUUUGAGCUAGGACAGAACCAGUUUUACUUUCUCUAAUUGUACUUUUCAGUUGAGUCUCUUCUAAGUGACUAUAUUUUCUGAAGUUAACAACAUAUUUUUGCAUAGUAUGUGCUCCAAGAAUUGAUGAUGCUGAUUUUUAUAGUUAUUUCUAAGGAAACUGUACAAAUGGUAUGCAGGAAUGCUCUUGAUUAUACCUGUUCCUAUAGAAACCAAGGUCACUGCUACAUUUCUGAUGUGUCAUGUUGGGGUGACUCUGUGACUCUCUGACUUUGGGACUGUAAAAGGAGUGGACCUGCAGAGAGGAUCAGUCAGGACAGGUGAUCUGAAACUGACCAAUGAAGUCUUCCGUCACAUACACACCAAACUCAGUUUAAAGUUAAGGGAUCAUGAGGACCAAGUUCUCUUCUUCCAUGGACAACAUCUGAGGAGGACUCUGGUUUUCUGCCUUCAAUCCCAAUCCUUGAGUUCCUGAAUCCAGUUUGUGUCUGCUGCUGAGUCCAGUCUGGAACUUUCUCAGUGCCCACCUUGCAGUGUUUGUGAUGUGAUUAUCAUCAGGGAAGCUCAAUAUUGUUUUUGUAUAUAAUUGUGUAUAUUUUAUUGUUUACCUAUUAACAUUAUUGUACCUUUUUAUUUCAUUGCUGUAGUUUCAUUAAAGUUGUUUUUAUUCUUUCCAA